CUACAGCUUCCCUCAAAAAUUCCCAGCCAAAACACCCCAUUCCCCAGAUUGACAAUUUCCCAAAAAUGUCCUCUGCCAAUUGCCAACAGCCUUUAUCGGAUUCCGAUUGCGAUUCCGAUCCUGAUCAAUCCCACACCGAAUCACACCACGGCAACCGCCAUCGCCACACAGACUUCUCAAACUCCAUUUUCAAAUCCUACUUCGAGCACACCACCAACCAAUCACAAUCCUCCAACUCACCACCAACUCCUCACGACCUCUCCAAAAUCCAAUCUUUUCUCAACUCUUCCUCCUCCGGCGCACUAUCAUGCCUUAUAUGCCUCGAGCGGAUCAAGCCCUCGGAUCCCACUUGGUCCUGCACUUCCCUCUGUUACGCUGUUUUUCACCUCCUCUGCAUUCAAUCCUGGGCCCGCCAGGCCUCUGAUCUCUCCGCCUACCGUGCCGCCACGCGCCUGCCCAUCUCCCCUGACAGAGCGGCGGAAACCUCCACCUGGAACUGUCCCAAAUGCAGAUCAGUGUAUGCGAAAUCUCAAAUCCCUAAAACUUAUUUCUGCUUCUGUGGUAACGUCGAGAAUCCUCCAAAUGAUAACCCCUGGAUUUUGCCGCAUUCCUGCGGUGAAGUCUGUGACCGUCCGUUGAAAAACAGCUGCGGCCAUUAUUGCUUGUUGCUAUGCCACCCUGGGCCGUGCCCUUCAUGU
rnacentral:misc_RNA from 1 species